GACGAGGGGUCCUAGCGUUGUUCGGAAUCACUGGGCGUAAAGCGUAUGUAGGCGGCCCUGCAAGUCAGGUGUGAAAUCCCAUGGCUUAACCAUGGAACUGCAUUUGAAACUGCAAGGCUUGAAUAUUGGAGAGGGUAGUAGAAUUCCUGGUGUAGUGGUGAAAUACGUAGAUAUCAGGAGGAACUCCGGUGGCGAAGGCGGCUACCUGGCCAAAUAUUGACGCUGAGAUACGAAAGCGUGGGGAUCAAACAGG
rnacentral:rRNA from 1 species